CAAGAAGCUUUGCUUUUCCAUGAUCAAGCUGCUAGAGAUUUUGGGGUGAGGGAGUGAAAUGAAGGCGAAAUAAAAGAACAGGAGAUAAGAUAAUCCUGCCAUGUUAAAAGUUGUAAGGUCCCUGAGAACAGUAUUGUAGAGAACGGACUGAGUUAAAAAACUGGGCUCCGCUCUGGGCUCUGCCACUGACCAGGUGUGGAAGCUUGGACCCACGCUUCAGUUUCUUCACCUGAAAAACAGGAAGACUAAGACCUAUUCCAACUCCUCUGCUGGGCCAUAGUGAGGGCAAUGGGCCAUACUGAAGUGCUUUAACUAUGGAAACACAUGGGAAUAUAAGCUUCUGAAGCAUCCACAGUGCCUAUCAUAGCCCAUCAUCCACAGGGAAGAGUCAGUGAACAUCUGGUGACUUCUACAGAAGGUUCUUUUCUGUCUUCAUAUCCAAGCAGUACUUGUAUAACUACAGUCUUUUCCUCUGUGUUCAUUCAUUUCAUACAUAUAUAUUUAACAAAUAUUGAGCCUCUUGUAUGUGCCACAGGGCUUGUACUAGGAACAGGGGAUACAAUGGGACACCCAGUGUCUACAGUAAAAUUGUUCUUUUUGUUCUUUCAA